AUUCCAGCUCCAAUAGCGUAUAUUAAAGUUGUUGCAGUUAAAAAGCUCGUAUUUGAAUUUUUGUCUGUUGGGGCCUUGUUCUGUCCUUAGUGGCGGAGUUUAGUGUCCCGACGGACUUCCUGGGGGCCAACUAGUUGGUGUUUCAUUACACUGAUUAGGGAACCCCCUCGUUUACUGUGAAAAAAUUAGAGUGUUUCAAGCAGGCGUUUCGCAUUGAAUACAUUAGCAUGGAAUAAUAAGAUAGGACUUUGGUGCUAUUUUGUUGGUUUGCACACCAAGGUAAUGAUUAAGAGGGACAGUUGGGGGUAUUCGUAUUAUCAUGUCAGAGGUGAAACUCUUGGAUUUUGGUAAGACGAACUACUGCGAAAGCAUUUACCAAGGAUGUUU
rnacentral:rRNA from 1 species